AGUAAUGGCCGCCAUGCGCUGCCAGCUCAGCUUCAACCGUUCUUUUGCAGCGGCUCUUCGUGGAGUGAGGUUGUCCCGCGGUCAAUUUUUUAAAAUUAUUUUUAAAUAAUCCGGAAACAUGGAAAAAUCUGCGAGGAAAGGCCGACAAAAUUUUUCGCCGAGAUGACGCCAUGCUGAAAAAAAGAAGGCGGCUGAAAAAUUUUCGAGUGGAAUGGAGAAUGAAAGAAGAGUGAAACUGGAAGGAAUACAACAGUAAAUGAAUAUAUUCUUGGAUUUUGCUGCUGAAAUGUGAAAGCACGUGUGAAAAGGAAGGAAAAAAUAUUUGGUUGGAAGAAGAGGAGAUAACUGCGCAUUAAAAAAUAAGGAAGAAAAUGGAAGUGAACAGGAAGAAGAAGAAGUACUGGAGGAAAAAAUAUGUAGUCCCACUGGAAUAAGUGUGUAAUUAUGUAACUGGAGGAAGAAAUAUGUACAUAGUAAUAUAAAGAUAAUAAAUCAGAAAUAUUAAAAAGUGAGUGAAAAAAGUAAAAAAAAAUGGAGGCAAAAGGAGAGAACAUUUAAAGUGAGUGAAAAAAUCUGAACUGGAAUGGAGGCAUAAGGCAAAAGGAGAGAGAGAAAAAAUGGAGAUGAAAAACGAGACAAAAUGGAGAUAGAGGCGAGAACAAAAUGGAGACGAGAAGAGGCCGCCAAAGAAAUGGAACUGGAAAUCGAAGAAAUGGAGAGAAGAAAUAAUGUUGCCGAGCUGGAGCAACAUGUUGCGGAAACCGAGGAUCAUUUGUUGCUAGAGGAAGAGGAAGACUGCCCCAAUUACGCCGGAAAAAUGAAUGGAGGAUAAGGAAUAAGGAAUAUUUCAUGGAUUUAAAAAUCGUUAAUUUUAUUAAACGUAAAUUGGAGUGGAAUCAAUUUGUAUGGAUAUUCAUAUCUAAAUUGUGGGCGGUGGAGGAGGAGGAGGAGGAAAAGGAGGCGUGCCCUGCAACGGAAAACCCGAAAACUGAAAAUCAGCCAAACGGAAAAACAAAACACGGAAUGGAUUAUGAUCUGGACCCAAAUCGGAUGUACACGAAACCUCAUCAUCCCUGAGGAGGAUAAUCAACAGGAGCCUUGAUUAUGAAAACGUAAUUGGAUUCAGGAUACCCAGCCAGGAUCCAGGAUACAGGAUUCAGGAUCCAGGAUGCAGGACAUAAAUAUAUAAUAAAUCGCGGCCUGACCCCCAAGGACCUCCAAAAUGAAUAUGUGGACCACAACAUCCAACGGAUCCAAACGGAUCCAAAGGACUUCCACAGGUGGAAAGGGAAAUGCAAUUGGAGAGAGCCUGGCAGAAGAAAACUUUCCACAAACUCCAAAAGUUGGCAGAAAUCUACUUACACUCGGCCAUCCAGCUCGGCUCUUGGAAAGUUAUGAUCGCAGAAUAAGUUAUAAAAUUUUAAAUUAUUUAAGGCAUAAACUUACCAACAAAUAUUUCAAAAAUCAAAUAAAUGGAAUGAAAACAACAAGUGCCUUAAACUGGCUUUCAAUUCUUACGUAUAUUUAUGCUGUCUUGUUCAAUUUAUAAUUUCAGUUUUAAUUCUAUUUACAAAUGAACUCCAAAUGGUUUAUUUUUUCUUUGUUUUUUUUUUUUUUUGACAUUAAAGAUUUAGUUUCUGGGGGAAUUCUACGAGA